GUGGGGAAUAUUGGACAAUGGGCGCAAGCCUGAUCCAGCAACGCCGCGUGAGGGAUGACGGCCUUCGGGUUGUAAACCUCUUUCAGCAGGGACGAAGCGAAAGUGACGGUACCUGCAGAAGAAGGACCGGCCAACUACGUGCCAGCAGCCGCGGUAAUACGUAGGGUCCGAGCGUUGUCCGGAAUUAUUGGGCGUAAAGGGCUCGUAGGCGGUCUGUCGCGUCGGGAGUGAAAACUCAGGGCUCAACCCUGAGCGUGCUUCCGAUACGGGCAGACUAGAGGUAUGCAGGGGAGAACGGAAUUCCUGGUGUAGCGGUGGAAUGCGCAGAUAUCAGGAGGAACACCGGUGGCGAAGGCGGUUCUCUGGGCAUUACCUGACGCUGAGGAGCGAAAGCAUGGGGAGCGAACAGGAUUAGAUACCCGGGUAGUCC
rnacentral:rRNA from 1 species